rnacentral:rRNA from 1 species
UCUGGAAACUNUCUGACUCGAGUGCAGAAGGGGAGAGUGGAAUUCCAUGNGUAGCGGUGAAAUGCGUAGAUAUAUGGAGGANCACCAGUGGCGAAAGCGGCUCUCUGGUCUGUCACUGACGCUGAGGCUCGAAAGCGUGGGUAGCGAACAGGAUUAGAUACCCUGGUAGUNCACGCCGUAAACGAUGAGUGCUAGGUGUUAGGCCCUUUCCGGGGCUUAGUGCCGGAGCUAACGCAAUAAGCACUCCGCCUGGGGAGUACGACCGCAAGGUUGAAACUCAAAGGAAUUGACGGGGGCCCGCACAAGCGGUGGAGCAUGUGGUUUAAUUCGAAGCAACGCGAAGAACCUUACCAGGUCUUGACAUCCCGAUGCUAUUCUUAGAGAUAGGAAGUUACUUCGGUACAUCGGAGACAGGUGGUGCAUGGUUGUCGUCAGCUUGUGUCGUGAGAUGUUGGGUUAAGUCCCGCAACGAGCGCAACCCUUAUUGUUAGUUGCCAUCAUUAAGUUGGGCACUCUAGCGAGACUGCCGGUAAUAAACCGGAGGAAGGUGGGGAUGACGUCAAAUCAUCAUGCCCCUUAUGACCUGGGCUACACACGUGCUACAAUGGUCGGUACAACGAGUUGCGAGCCGGUGACGGCAAGCUAAUCUCUGAAAGCCGAUCUCAGUUCGGAUUGGAGGCUGCAACUCGCCUCCAUGAAGUCGGAAUCGCUAGUAAUCGCGGAUCAGCACGCCGCGGUGAAUACGUUCCCGGGCCUUGUACACACCGCCCGUCACACCACGAGAGUUUGUAACACCCGAAGUCGGUGAGGUAACCUUUUAGGGGCCAGC